CAACAUGUAGCUUAACUAAAGCGUCUCGCUUACACCGAGAAGAUAUUUGUGAGACCCAAAUCAUCUUGA
rnacentral:tRNA from 1 species